UCUCUUAUAGCUCAGUUGGAAAGAAUCUGCCUGCAAUGCAGGAGACCCAGGUUUGAUUCCUGGGUUGGGAA
rnacentral:tRNA from 1 species